rnacentral:rRNA from 1 species
GCAACGCGCAGAACCUUACCAGCGUUUGACAUGUCCGGACGACUGGCAGAGAUGCCUUUCUUCUCUUCGGGGACUGGAACACAGGUGCUGCAUGGCUGUCGUCAGCUCGUGUCGUGAGAUGUUGGGUUAAGUCCCGCAACGAGCGCAACCCUCGCCUUUAGUUACCAUCAUUCAGUUGGGGACUCUAAAGGAACCGCCGGUGAUAAGCCGGAGGAAGGUGGGGAUGACGUCAAGUCCUCAUGGCCCUUACGCGCUGGGCUACACACGUGCUACAAUGGCAACUACAGUGGGCAGCAAUCCCGCGAGGGUGAGCUAAUCUCCAAAAGUUGUCUCAGUUCGGAUUGUUCUCUGCAACUCGAGAGCAUGAAGGCGGAAUCGCUAGUAAUCGCGGAUCAGCAUGCCGCGGUGAAUACGUUCCCAGGCCUUGUACACAC